GAAAAAUCUACAAUUGCUCGCAAUAAAUGAUAUGGCUGCUUUUGUUUCCUUCUGUCUUCCGAGUGGUAAAUCAACCGCCAUUUUACUUUUAAACUAUGACUGUAAAAAGCAUAAAAGCUUAACAUUAAUACAGCAAGAGUCUGGCAGUUUUUCUUCCUCUUUGCCUCUUCACCUGGACCAUAAAUAGGGAGCAAAGCAGUCUGCUGAAAAUACAUUUGUCUGUGUUGCUAAAUGUCUAUCACCUGUGGCUGUUGGUCACGAGCAGACCGUCUGGCUGUCCGCUGGUAUCUUCGCCAUCCUUGCCCUUCAUCCUCUCCUGGCGUGCCCUGCGCCUCCUCUCGCGGGCAGCCUCCUCCUCGUCAUCAUCAUUUCUCGCCAACCUGAGGGAGACAAAAGGGAGCUAACCUGUCAGCCGUGCUACAACCUAUACUUCUUAUCGUUGCUGCAGACAUUGGUGAGGACAAGAGAGCCAGAGAAACAGUGUCUCAAAGAUGAGGAAUGUUGUCAAAACAGAACAGAUGAAUCUGUCAACGCCCAAUCUGGACCUGAGGGACAUGACAUCGGUGACGUCAGGCAAUGAUUUGCACAUGUAUUUGUGCUUGGUUCAGAUGAUUCAGGAUGUUUAAGGGUAGAAAACUAGUAUAAUCAAUAAUAAAUGUUUAGUACACUUUGUAACAACAGACAAAGACUAAGAUGUAGCAAAACAAAGAAGAAGUAUAAGUUCUAUAUACGUUUUGUAACGAACAAGCUAUCAAUUGUCACUAUGAGUGUAAAUCACAAGUUUCCUCACUUUACAAAAAUACCACAAUCUGGUAUAUGCUGAUAUCAAAAAGUCUGCCAUGGUAAGAUUUCAACUUGAAUUAAUUCAGGGGUCUGCGAUCAAUAUGAGGUAUAAUAUGCCUAUUUAAAACAAGUUAUAUUUAUAUUAACUGCCAGAAAUAAACUAUGAGGGGUCUUUAGGAAGGAGGUGCACACAGUUGGAUGGACCAUGGGGAAUUUCAAAAUAAAGGUGUAUCUGAAAAAUGAUGAUAUGUAUUGAUGUUUUCGCUUUGCAUCAAUGAUAUUGGAUUGCUGACCAUCAAAUCGAUACACGGAUUCACACGCAAAUUAGCAACAGAGAUCAUUAUC